GCAAGAUAUAAUUAAACAACUCCCUCCCCUUACCAUAUAAAGGGCAUUACCAGUUCUUCCUUGUCCCAGCUAGGGACGCAUCGAGCGUCUGUUAAAUUGGUGAGACACACGGAUUGAUGUCUGGGGAAUGUGGUCCGAUAGCUGUCCGGGCAGAAUGCUGUGUGACCAUGCUCCGACUGGAAGUUACGGAGCAAAGACUCAG